AACCGAGUAAGCAGAUCACCCCCUAGCAGUUCUGUUGCCUUUUGGACCCCGCCAGGUCCUGGAGUCGGGCGGGGACGCGGCCCUGGGGGCGGGCCGGGGCGGGGCCGGCGGUUGACACCCUGGCGCACGCGGGCCCCUAGCCGCAGACAAUACGCCUCGCGGCUCGAGCUCUGUGGACGCCGCCGCCGUCACCACCCGCCGCCACUGCCACCACCGGACGCGAGAGAAGAAAUGUAUCAAGCAAGACCCCUCUCUAGGAACCUCUUUUUGUACACCUUCCUACAAAACCAUGGCCCAGGCUUCCUGGACGACCAAGACUCAGGGCUUCCUGGUGUGACCAGUAUCUUGGAGUUCCACCCCAUCUCCCCCUACAGUGACAGUCCACACUACCUGGCCAUGCAGCUGGCCUCCAUUGCCGAUGAGAUGGAGCUGAGGUUGCUGCUGCCCCAGUUCGUUGAGCCCUUCUGGAUGACCAUGUACAGCUUGUUUUUCCCCUACAGCCACGUAGGGCUCAGGGAUGUUCUGAGAAGCUUUAUGGCUGCUUUCACCAACCUUAGGGAGAACCGAAGGCUCUGGAGCUUCCUGACUCUCAGGGACCGGGUGUCGCCCAGCCUGUGGCCCGAGCUGGCGCUGUCCCUGCUGGUGGUGGCGAUGCUCAGCUGGGGGUGCCGCCCCCACUGACCGAACUGCUGGUCAGUGUGGGGGUGGGGCUGGCCCCUCCCUCUCGACCACCACCCUGGCGGUGGCCCUGUUUUGGUGGUGUUGUCUUUUAACUGUUUUCUGAUGAUGCUUUUUUUUUUUUUUUUUAAUUUAAACUCUGAGUGCUGGGACACUGAGGUUCAUACUAUUUUUUUCCUUUUUUUUUUUUUUUGUAAGAGAAAUGAAUUUAUUAUACCUCUGGGGUCGUUACUGGUUAAUGACCUGCUCUCCCGGUGCCAGCCUGCUCUGCGGUGGCCUGUCCUGGGACGGAGCCUCCCUCUCAUGGGUUGGUCGAACAGGGGGCGGCGGGGGGAGUGCUGGUCACACCCCCGUGUCUGGGAUGCCCGUGGCACAGAGAAUCUGCUGGAAUAGAUUUCUGUGGGGCGAGGAGAGCUCAAUAAAAUGUUGGUUUCCAGCCA
rnacentral:lncRNA from 1 species